ACAAUAAAAGCUAGAACACAAAACAAAAAAUGAAAACCUUAAUAUUCAGCCCAGCCUAUGUCCAAAUGAUCUCAAAAGUGUCUAAGUAUUCAUGACUUCUUGCUGUCAUAAAACCACCACACCACUGAGUAGUUCCAGCAUUCACCAUUUCAUUAAAAUCUUACCACUUUGGAGGCACAGAUGAAAUUGUAGAACUUGAGGUGCUUCCCAGUUGGGGGUGUGCCCCGCUCUAGGAUAAGGCGAUAUUUCUAUUCCCUGUGGAGCGAGAAUACCCAUAAUCUUACCUAAGCGGUAAUCUUCUGUCCCCUAUUCUAGAAUGCUUUUCACCUUUCCUCUAGUUGCUUGGUAAGAGCUAUACUACGCUGAGCCUGGUGACUUAUCAGUGCUGACCAUGGGUGAUACUCAAGCACCAAGGUCUGUAGUCACAGGUUUAUUAACACCUGUGGGCAGGUGUUAACCCCGACACAAUGAGAGACCUCACAAGCUGAAGGUGGCAGAGAACUCUGAGGGAAAAAGGCAAAUUUUGGUUAGGAAAAGGCCAGCAGCGAGCCGGUACUUGGUAUUCAAAGUCAGAUCUGUCUGACUCCCGUGCUCAUGGUCUUUCAACUAUUCUUGAAAAAUUUUAGAGGCCUGGUGAUAGUUAAUUUUAUGUGCCAACUUGACUGGCCCACAGGGUGCCCACAUAUCUGGCUAUACAUUGUUUUCCCUUGCUUUCCUUUUUUUUGGAACUAAUUAAACUCUAGACUUUAUUUGAAUUUGAUUAGUUUUCCAUUUAGGGUUUUUUUUUUUUUCUUUUUCUGGGAUCCAAUCCAUGAUGCCACACUGCAUUUAGCAUAUAUAGAUUUUUGAGGAAUGUGAUUAAGCACUGGGCUUUUCACGGUUUUGCUUUAAAAAAUCAAAUUUGCUUAAACAGAAGGAAGGAAAUUGCACAAAAAUCAACACAGUUUGUUGAAACUAUUUUUG
rnacentral:lncRNA from 10 species